rnacentral:rRNA from 1 species
UACGGGGGGGGCAAGCGUUGUUCGGAAUUACUGGGCGUAAAGGGCUCGUAGGUGGCCAACUAAGUCGGACGUGAAAUCCCCAGGCUCAACUUGGGAACUGCGUCCGAUACUGGAUGGCUUGAAUUCGGGAGAGGGAUGCAGAAUUCCAGGUGUAGCGGUGAAAUGCGUAGAUAUACUGGAGGAAUACCGGUGGCGAAGGCGGCAUCCUGGACCGAGAUUGACACUGAAAAGCGAAAGCCAGGGGAGCAAACGGG